ensembl:lncRNA
UGUAAACCAGGUUAACAAGGAAAUAAAGGUGCACUUGUUGGUGGCUGUUUGGUACAGAGGUAUCUUUACUUUUGGAUUCUUAACUUGAUGUAUUUCAUCUUUUUGGUUUUUAGUUUUUAAACCUUUCAAUUUUAUUUAACUUUUCACUUGGAAUCAAUCCUUUGAACCGAUUAAAAGGCAACAGGAUAAAUUAACCUUACACAGUUUAGUUAACCUGUCAGUGGAUAGUUUUCGGAGAUCCUUCAAAACAACAAAAAUACCAACAGGCUGAGACAUUUAUGACACUCAACGUGUUGGAUCAGCAGACCUGGACAACAUGGAAAUACCUGCUGUAACUGCGUUGGCUUUGCUGUUUGUCGGCGUCUUCACAUUUGUCACUGCAGGCAUCAUGAGGUCUGGUGGCAUCUGUGUGGAUGUAAGUGCUUGGUCAAGUGCAGCUUUUACCACAGAGACAAAGAUGUCUGCGUCAGUGUGAUGUAGUUUCAGGGGUCAGUAUACAGCUACAAAGCUUUUUCUUCAUGUUCUACAGUAUAAAUUUAACCUGUGCAGUUGCA